rnacentral:rRNA from 1 species
UACGUAGGGUGCAAGCGUUAAUCGGAAUUACUGGGCGUAAAGCGUGCGCAGGCGGUUUUGUAAGUCUGAUGUGAAAUCCCCGGGCUCAACCUGGGAAUUGCAUUGGAGACUGCAAGGCUGGAGUCUGGCAGAGGGGGGUGGAAUUCCACGUGUAGCAGUGAAAUGCGUAGAGAUGUGGAGGAACACCGAUGGCGAAGGCAGCCCCCUGGGUCAAGACUGACGCUCAUGCACGAAAGCGUGGGGAGCAAACAGG